CAAAUGUGCAGAAACUAAGUCAGGUGAGUCAAAUCUAAAUAUUACAAAAUCAAGUACAUAAUAAUCAGAUCAGGAUGCAAAGAACAUAUACAACUAGUUAAAAAUAUCAGUCUAGAGUAGAGAGAAAAUGCAGACAAAAAAUUACACAAAUAUGGAACCGGUAAAUGCUACUUUCUUUCACCAUGUACCUAAGCACUUAUAUAAUAAGCGAUUAAGCUAUAGAGCUUAAUUAGUUAUUUAUCCAAACAAGGCUUAAGAAUCCAACACAGAAUUCAUUUAAUCAAUGCAUUAUUAGAGUCUCCAAAACAAAGAUGAAUUCAUUGAGAGUCGCCAAUUUCUUCUUAGCAAUUCAACAUGAAUACAUCACCAUAUAAAAUAAUUUAAGAAGCAUAUCUAACUUAUAAACUAAUAAGUCAAGAGAAUGAAGCUAUCUGUCAUCCACAAAACCUGAAAUGCACUUCUAACUGCCACUGCUUGCCCUGAACCCUGCCAUGAAAGAAAAAAGGAAAAAAAUUAAAACUGAACAGCAGCAAAAAAUAAAACAAAACAAAUUUAAGAAAGGAGAUGGGAAAGGCUACAAUCACCGGAGAAAACCCAAUUAACUAUGUCUAAAAAGUUCCCUCGAUCAACCACUGAAGCCACCUAAUAGAACAACCAAAACCAACAACAACUUCCAUUAAAUUCCAAAUCAAAAUGUGUAACAUCAAGCAUAAUAAAUCUAAAACACGUGAAUGUCAAGCCUGAAUAAAAUAAAUGUUUGAAGAAACAUGUCAAGAGGAAACAAAAAAAACUCAAAAAAAAAAAA
rnacentral:lncRNA from 1 species